rnacentral:rRNA from 1 species
CUGGUGACAGAUGCGAAUCUCGAAAGCCGGUCUCAGUUCGGAUUGGAGGCUGAAACUCGCCUCCAUGAAGUUGGAUUCGCUAGUAAUCGCGCAUCAGCCAUGGCGCGGUGAAUACGUUCCCGGGCCUUGUACACACCGCCCGUCAAGCCAUGGGAGUUGGGGGUGCCUGAAGUACGUGACCGCAAGGAGCGUCCUAGGGCAAAACCGAUGACUGGGGCUAAGUCGUAACAAGGUAGC